ensembl:lncRNA
GCCAUGAGCCUUGGAGCAAAUCUACACCAAACACAGAAAGCAUGUGUUUUUUUUUUUUUUGUUGUUUUUUGUUUUGUUUUUUGUUUUAAAGAGAAUUUUGCUCAUGAAUUAAACAUGGCCCAUAUGGAAUAAGUGCAGGGUCGAGGUGGGUGCAGCAUGUCUGGUUCACUCAGACAGGCGUGGAGUGUGAGAGUCAAGAUGACCACGAAUGACAGCAAGCACACCUACCUAUAUAAACCUGAACCUGAGUCAAAGCACUGACAAACAUCUGACUGGACACAAGUACUUUUUGCAUUAUGAUCCUUAAAAUGUUGUCAUUCGUGAUCAUCUUGACUGUGGUGCUCCACACUAGUCUGAGUGAGCUGGACAUGUGGUACCCAUCUAAGCCCUGCACUAAAGCAAAGAACCUGGAUGGGUAUGACACUUUCCUGAACCACCACCUUCGUAAGGACGCACCAAAUGAUCCACGCAAACUAAGAGAAUGGCAGAAGUUCAUCACCAAAAUCAACACCUGGAACAGGCCGAUUCAGUCAUUCCUUCCCUUCAGAGAAGCAAGAAGGGUGAUAGCUGUGUGUUCAUCAGCAGGAAAAAUGUAUGAAGGGAACCUCUGCAUCAGCAAGAAGCCUUUCACAUUCUUCACUGUUGAGAUCGCAGCUAAGAAGCAAGUCAAGAGAGUCAAGGUUCAGGAACAACAUGUUAUUCUUGGCUGUGAUAAAAUUAAAACUAAAUGUCUACCUAUUCAUUUUGAGGCAAAUGUAAAUGAUGAUAUACCAGAUGAUAUCGAACCUGACUGCAGCAAAGCAAUGGCAAAUUCAAGCUUUAUUACAUUCGAGGAGCUGUUUCAUGUCUAGACACAUGACCUGCAGAAUUCAGGUCACUUUUGUUCUUUUAUUUCUAUGUAACCAAUGAUGAAACUACAGUAAUUAGAGGAUGUCUGCUGACAUAAUGCAUUCUGUAUGUACACACACAAACAAACACGAA